AGUGUCAGCCACGUCUAGCGCACAGUCCCAGGCCCCAGGGCGAAGGCGGCUAGGGGAAAUGGGGCUCAGGGAUUGCUAAGCAAACGCAUCACUGGUGGUCUCCAGCGCCUGCGGAGCAUCAAGCUUAUGAAGAUUUCCAAGUAAGACUUUAUUGUUGACCCUUGUUGAAGAGAACUCUACUUGGCUUCGUUCCUGGCUUUCCUAAAUUGUUCACAUACAAGAUAAACUACCAUCAUUCAGACUUACAGAAGUGAGAAGACAAGCUGAACCAAAUGUAAAAUGGUAGCAAUUUACAGGUAAUUCUAUAUCUUAAUUUCUCCCACAUUUUUAGGGUAAGAAAUUGUGAUAUAUGGGGGUUAUUUGGAUCACGCGUUUUCUAAGUAAAACUUUGUCGUGAUUAAUUUUAUGUAUUUAUAGUAGUUCUCCCUGUGUCCGUUUAUCCAAGCAACACAAUACAA
rnacentral:antisense_RNA from 1 species